GUCGAACGGAGAUGAGAGCUUGCUCUUCACAUCGAGUGGCGAACGGGUGAGUAACGCGUGAGGACCUGCCUCAAAGAGGGGGACAACAGUUGGAAACGACUGCUAAUACCGCAUAAGUCGGCAUCGAAAAAGGAGCAAUCCGCUUUGAGAUGGCCUCGCGUCCGAUUAGCUAGUUGGUGAGGUAACGGCCCACCAAGGCGACGAUCGGUAGCCGGACUGAGAGGUUGAACGGCCACAUUGGGACUGAGACACGGCCCAGACUCCUACGGGAGGCAGCAGUGGGGAAUAUUGCACAAUGGGGGAAACCCUGAUGCAGCGACGCCGCGUGGAGGAAGAAGGUCUUCGGAUUGUAAACUCCUGUUGUUGAGGAAGAUAAUGACGGUACUCAACAAGGAAGUGACGGCUAACUACGUGCCAGCAGCCGCGGUAAAACGUAGGUCACAAGCGUUGUCCGGAAUUACUGGGUGUAAAGGGAGCGCAGGCGGGAGAACAAGUUGGAAGU
rnacentral:rRNA from 1 species